GAUGAAGAACGCAGCGAAAUGCGAUACGUAAUGUGAAUUGCAGAAUUCAGUGAAUCAUCGAAUCUUUGAACGCAUAUUGCGCUCUCUGGUAUUCCGGAGAGCAUGCUUGUUUGAGUAUCAGUAAACACCUCAACUUCCAAAUCUUUUUUGAAAUGGGAGUUGGACUUGAGUGAUCCCAACGCUUUUCCUCACCGAAAAGUGGCGGGUUACUUGAAAUGCAGGUGCAGCUGGACUUUUCUCUGAGCUAUAAGCAUAUCUAUUUAGUCUGCCUAAAAAACAGAUUAUUACCUUUGCUGCAGCUAACAUAAAGGAGAUUAGUUCUUGUGCUGACUGAUGCAGGAUUCACAAAGACGGCUUCGGCCGACUUUGUAAACUCGAUCUCAAAUCAAGUAAGACUACCCGCUGAACUUAAGCAUAUCAAUAAGCGGAGGA
rnacentral:misc_RNA from 1 species